UGGGGAAUAUUGCACAAUGGGCGCAAGCCUGAUGCAGCCAUGCCGCGUGUAUGAAGAAGGCCUUCGGGUUGUAAAGUACUUUCAGCGAGGAGGAAGGCGGUAAGGUUAAUAACCUUAUCGAUUGACGUUACUCGCAGACGAAGCACCGGCUAACUCCGUGCCAGCAGCCGCGGUAAUACGGAGGGUGCAAGCGUUAAUCGGAAUUACUGGGCGUAAAUCGCACGCAGGCGGUCUGUCAAGUCGGAUGUGAAAUCCCCGGGCUCAACCUGGGAACUGCAUUCGAAACUGGCAGGCUAGAGUCUUGUAGAGGGGGGUAGAAUUCCAGGUGUAGCGGUGAAAUGCGUAGAGAUCUGGAGGAAUACCGGUGGCGAAGGCGGCCCCCUGGACAAAGACUGACGCUCAGGUGCGAAAGCGUGGGGAGCAAACA
rnacentral:rRNA from 1 species